UACAGAGGUCUCAAGCGUUGUUCGGAUUCAUUGGGCGUAAAGGGUGCGUAGGCGGCGCGGUAGUCGGGUGUGAAAUCUCGGAGCUUAACUCCGAAACUGCAUUCGAUACUGCCGUGCUUGAGGACCGGAGAGGAUAGUGGAAUUCCCAGUGUAGUGGUGAAAUACGUAGAGAUUGGGAAGAACGACCGGUGGCGAAGGCGGCCUUCUGGACAGUUACUGACGCUGAGACGCGAAAGCGUGGGGAGCAAACAGG
rnacentral:rRNA from 1 species